CUGGAAUUCGGGAUGAAGCUGUGAUGGAAGUAGAAGUGGAGAAUAUUUGCUAGAACCCACCUGCCUAGCAUUAUACAGGUUUCUACUUGCAAAUGUACCUGACUCCGGAAUAAGAGCACUGCUCCUCAGGGAACUGGUUUACCUCAUAUGUCACAAAUCUUAUUUCAGUUUUAAAGGCAACUACUAUCUAUAACUAAAAGAAGUACCAAUUGGCAGUCCUAUGGUACUCCUUUUGCAUAUGUUCCACAAUAUUAUGAGGUUCUAUCUGUGCUAUGUCAACAACAUCAUGACCAUUUGGAACAAAAGGGCAAAGUAUAAAGCUUUAGUGGAACAACUUUCAAUAGAAUCUUAUGGCCUUGUACUAAAAAUACAACAAUUGAGUCACUCUUCUACACACUGCUUUGACAUUAAUCUGAAGGUAGAGGACAAAAAAUUAAAAACAUCCGUGUACAGAAAACCAUCUUAUGAACCCAUUAUUAUCCCAAAAUAGUCCUCGGAUCCAAUGAGAUAUAA
rnacentral:lncRNA from 1 species